GUGGGGAAUCUUGCACAAUGGGGGAAACCCUGAUGCAGCGACGCCGCGUGAGCGAUGAAGCCCUUCGGGGUGUAAAGCUCUUUCGACAGGAACGAUAAUGACGGUACCUGGAGAAGAAGCUGCGGCCAACUACGUGCCAGCAGCCGCGGUAAUACGUAGGCAGCGAGCGUUGUUCGGAGUUACUGGGCGUAAAGCGUGCGUAGGCGGUUCGCUAAGUUUGGUGUGAAAUCUCCCGGCUUAACUGGGAGGGUGCGCCGAAUACUGGCGGGCUCGAGUGUGGGAGAGGGAAGCGGAAUUCCUGGUGUAGCGGUGAAAUGCGUAGAUAUCAGGAGGAACACCUGCGGUGAAGACGGCUUCCUGGACCACUACUGACGCUGAGGCACGAAAGCGUGGGGAGCAAACAGGAUUAGAUACCCGAGUAGUCC
rnacentral:rRNA from 1 species